rnacentral:rRNA from 1 species
GACGAACGCUGGCGGCGCGCUUAACACAUGCAAGUCGAGCGAAGCGGCGGACGGGUGAGUAACACGUGAGUAACCUGCCUAAGACAUUGGGAUAGCAUCGGGAAACCGGGAUUAAUACCAAAUGGUCUAAGAUGGACUCGCGUCCCAUUAGCUAGUUGGUGAGGUAACGGCCCACCAAGGCGACGAUGGGUAGCCGGCCUGAGAGGGUGAUCGGCCACAUUGGAAUUGAGAAACGGCCCGAACUCUUCGGGGGGCAGCAGUGGGGAAUAUUGCACAAUGGGGGAAACCCUGAUGCAGCAACGCCGCGUGCGGGAUGACGGCCUUCGGGUUGUAACCCGCUUUCAGCCAUGACGCGGUAGUGGCAGAAGAAGCACCGGCUAACUACGUGCCAGCAGCCGCGGUAAUUC